rnacentral:rRNA from 1 species
UACGUAGGCAGCAAGCGUUGUUCGGAGUUACUGGGCGUAAAGGGUGUGUAGGCGGUUGGAUAAGUGUGGUGUGAAAUCUCCCGGCUUAACUGGGAGGGUGCGCUACAAACUGUCUGACUAGAGUACGGGAUGGGAAAGUGGAAUUCCUGGUGUAGCGGUGAAAUGCGUAGAUAUCAGGAGGAACACCGGUGGUGUAGACGGCUUUCUGGACCGUAACUGACGCUGAAACACGAAAGCGUGGGUAGCAAACAGG